rnacentral:tRNA from 1 species
GCCGACUCUAGCUCAGUUGGCUAGAGCGAUUGACUUAUAAUCAGUGGGGUCAGCCGUUUGCUUCCGGUAGUCGGCACCA